rnacentral:rRNA from 1 species
CCUACGGGUGGCAGCAGUGAGGCAUAUUGGUCAAUGGACGAGAGUCUGAACCAGCCAAGUAGCGUGAAGGAUGACUGCCCUAUGGGUUGUAAACUUCUUUUAUAUGGGAAUAAAACGUUCCACGUGUGGGAUUUUGUAUGUACCAUAUGAAUAAGGAUCGGCUAACUCCGUGUCAGCAGCCGCGGUAAUACGGAGGAUCCGAGCGUUAUCCGGAUUUAUUGGGUUUAAAGGGAGCGUAGGUGGAUUGGUAAGUCAGUUGUGAAAGUUUGCGGCUCAACCGUAAAAUUGCAGUUGAAACUGGCAGUCUUGAGUACAGGAGAGGUGGGCGGAAUUCGUGGUGUAGCGGUGAAAUGCUUAGAUAUCAGGAAGAACACCAGUGGCGAAGGCGGAUGACUGGACGGCAACUGACGGUGAGGCGCGAAAGCGUGGGGAGCAAACAGGAUUAGAUACCCUUGUAGUC